UGAACGCUGGCGGCAGGCCUAACACAUGCAAGUCGAACGGUAACAGGAAUCAGCUUGCUGAUUCGCUGACGAGUGGCGGACGGGUGAGUAAUGUCUGGGAAACUGCCUGAUGGAGGGGGAUAACUACUGGAAACGGUAGCUAAUACCGCAUAACGUCGCAAGACCAAAGAGGGGGACCUUCGGGCCUCUUGCCAUCGGAUGUGCCCAGAUGGGAUUAGCUAGUAGGUGGGGUAAAGGCUCACCUAGGCGACGAUCCCUAGCUGGUCUGAGAGGAUGACCAGCCACACUGGAACUGAGACACGGUCCAGACUCCUACGGGAGGCAGCAGUGGGGAAUAUUGCACAAUGGGCGCAAGCCUGAUGCAGCCAUGCCGCGUGUAUGAAGAAGGCCUUCGGGUUGUAAAGUACUUUCAGCGGGGAGGAAGGGAGUAAAGUUAAUACCUUUGCUCAUUGACGUUACCCGCAGAAGAAGCACCGGCUAACUCCGUGCCAGCAGCCGCGGUAAUACGGAGGGUGCUAGCGUUAAUCGGAAUUACUGGGCGUAAAGCGCACGCAGGCGGUUUGUUAAGUCAGAUGUGAAAUCCCCGGGCUCAACCUGGGAACUGCAUCUGAUACUGGCAAGCUUGAGUCUCGUAGAGGGGGGUAGAAUUCCAGGUGUAGCGGUGAAAUGCGUAGAGAUCUGGAGGAAUACCGGUGGCGAAGGCGGCCCCCUGGACGAAGACUGACGCUCAGGUGCGAAAGCGUGGGGAGCAAACAGGAUUAGAUACCCUGGUAGUCCACGCCGUAAACGAUGUCGACUUGGAGGUUGUGCCCUUGAGGCGUGGCUUCCGGAGCUAACGCGUUAAGUCGACCGCCUGGGGAGUACGGCCGCAAGGUUAAAACUCAAAUGAAUUGACGGGGGCCCGCACAAGCGGUGGAGCAUGUGGUUUAAUUCGAUGCAACGCGAAGAACCUUACCUGGUCUUGACAUCCACGGAAGUUUUCAGAGAUGAGAAUGUGCCUUCGGGAACCGUGAGACAGGUGCUGCAUGGCUGUCGUCAGCUCGUGUUGUGAAAUGUUGGGUUAAGUCCCGCAACGAGCGCAACCCUUAUCCUUUGUUGCCAGCGGUCCGGCCGGGAACUCAAAGGAGACUGCCAGUGAUAAACUGGAGGAAGGUGGGGAUGACGUCAAGUCAUCAUGGCCCUUACGACCAGGGCUACACACGUGCUACAAUGGCGCAUACAAAGAGAAGCGACCUCGCGAGAGCAAGCGGACCUCAUAAAGUGCGUCGUAGUCCGGAUUGGAGUCUGCAACUCGACUCCAUGAAGUCGGAAUCGCUAGUAAUCGUGGAUCAGAAUGCCACGGUGAAUACGUUCCCGGGCCUUGUACACACCGCCCGUCACACCAUGGGAGUGGGUUGCAAAAGAAGUAGGUAGCUUAACCUUCGGGAGGGCGCUUACCACUUUGUGAUUCAUGACUGGGGUGAAG
rnacentral:rRNA from 1 species